GAUGAACGCUAGCGGCGGGCUUAAUACAUGCAAGUCGAGGGGUGGUAGCAAUACUACACCGGCGCACGGGUGCGUAACGCGUAUGCAAUCUACCUUUAUCUGGGGGAUAGCCCGGGGAAACCCGGAUUAAUACCGCAUAACAAAUUUCUUGGCAUCAAGAGAUUUUAAAAGAUUUAUCGGAUAGAGAUGAGCAUGCGUAAGAUUAGAUAGUUGGCGAGGUAACGGCUCACCAAGUCUACGAUCUUUAGGGGCUCUGAGAGGAGAAUCCCCCACACUGGAACUGAGAUACGGGCCAGAAUCCUACGGGAGGCAGCAGUAGGGAAUAUUGGGCAAUGGGCGCAAGCCUGACCCAGCCACGCCGCGUGCAGGAAGAAGGCCCUCUGGGUUGUAAACUGCUUUUGACUGGGAAGAAAAGACUCCUUGCGAGGAGAGUUGACGGUACCAGCAGAAUAAGCCACGGCUAACUACGUGCCAGCCGCCGCCGUAAUAC
rnacentral:rRNA from 1 species